AAAAUUUUAGUUUAAUAUAUAAAAUAUUUCAUUUACAAUGAGAAGAUUUAUAAGUAGUAUAAAAAUUUUA
rnacentral:tRNA from 1 species